AUCCCAGUUCGGAUCGCAGGCUGCAACCCGCCUGCGUGAAGUUGGAAUCGCUAGUAAUCGCGGAUCAGCAUGCCGCGGUGAAUACGUUCCCGGGCCUUGUACACACCGCCCGUCACACCAUGAGAGUCGGGAACACCCGAAGUCCGUAGCCUAACUGCAAGGGGCGCGGCCGAAGGUGGGUUCGAUAAUUGGGGUGAAGUCGUAACAAGGUACC
rnacentral:rRNA from 1 species